UAAUACAUAAGCAAUCUGCCCACCAAAGACUGGGAUAACCUCUGGAAACGGGGACUAAUACCGGAUAGGUAGGAGAGAGGCAUCUUUCUUCUAUUAAAGAUGAGAAGCACUAGUGGAUGAGCUUAUGGCGCAUUAGUUAGUUGGUGAGGUAACGGCCCACCAAGACGAUGAUGCGUAGCCGGCCUGAGAGGGUGAACGGCCACAUUGGGACUGAGACACGGCCCAG
rnacentral:rRNA from 1 species